UAGGGAAUCUUCGGCAAUGGGGGGAACCCUGACCGAGCAACGCCGCGUGAGUGAAGAAGGUUUUCGGAUCGUAAAGCUCUGUUGUUAAGGAAGAACGAGUGUGAGAAUGGAAAGUUCAUACUGUGACGGUACUUAACCAGAAAGGGACGGCUAACUACGUGCCAGCAGCCGCGGUAAUACGUAGGUCCCGAGCGUUGUCCGGAUUUAUUGGGCGUAAAGCGAGCGCAGGCGGUUAGAUAAGUCUGAAGUUAAAGGCAGUGGCUCAACCAUUGUAGGCUUUGGAAACUGUUUAACUUGAGUGCAGAAGGGGGGAGUGGAAUUCCAUGUGUAGCGGUGAAAUGCGUAGAUAUAUAGAGGAACACCAGUGGCGAAAGCGGCUCUCUGGUCUGUAACUGUCGCUGAGGCUCGAAAGCGUGGGGAGCGAACAGG
rnacentral:rRNA from 1 species